AGAGUUUGAUCCUGGCUCAGGAUGAACGCUGGCGGCGUGCCUAAUACAUGCAAGUCGAGCGAAUGGAUUAAGAGCUUGCUCUUAUGAAGUUAGCGGCGGACGGGUGAGUAACACGUGGGUAACCUGCCCAUAAGACUGGGAUAACUCCGGGAAACCGGGGCUAAUACCGGAUAACAUUUUGAACCGCAUGGUUCGAAAUUGAAAGGCGGCUUCGGCUGUCACUUAUGGAUGGACCCGCGUCGCAUUAGCUAGUUGGUGAGGUAACGGCUCACCAAGGCAACGAUGCGUAGCCGACCUGAGAGGGUGAUCGGCCACACUGGGACUGAGACACGGCCCAGACUCCUACGGGAGGCAGCAGUAGGGAAUCUUCCGCAAUGGACGAAAGUCUGACGGAGCAACGCCGCGUGAGUGAUGAAGGCUUUCGGGUCGUAAAACUCUGUUGUUAGGGAAGAACAAGUGCUAGUUGAAUAAGCUGGCACCUUGACGGUACCUAACCAGAAAGCCACGGCUAACUACGUGCCAGCAGCCGCGGUAAUACGUAGGUGGCAAGCGUUAUCCGGAAUUAUUGGGCGUAAAGCGCGCGCAGGUGGUUUCUUAAGUCUGAUGUGAAAGCCCACGGCUCAACCGUGGAGGGUCAUUGGAAACUGGGAGACUUGAGUGCAGAAGAGGAAAGUGGAAUUCCAUGUGUAGCGGUGAAAUGC
rnacentral:rRNA from 1 species